CCAUGUUAUGAGGACACUCAGGCAGUACUGUGGAGAGCUGCACAUGGUAAAGAACUGAGCCCUCUUGCCAACAGCCAUAUAUCACUCGGAGCCAAUCUCCAAUCAUGCUCAGGACAGCAGCAAAGUAAGCAAGUCCUACAAGGAUCCAGAACCACACAACAGGCUUAUAGAAGUCCAGAUAUUCAAUAUCGGAUCCACCUGAAGACAUAAACAAAGUAGAACAAAAUAACUUCAUAUUCCUAAAAGUCAACAGUCCAGACUUCUGAGAUGCAGCCCGUGAGAUGCCAUCACCCGCUCUCCCUCCUAGGUCCCACACCAACCUGGCAGAAAUAUUCACUCCACUGGUUUUUUUUUCUUUAUUGCCACUAAAAACAUGCAUAUAAAUCCUUUCCAUUUUAAGAGCUUGCUGGCUAAUCAUAAUAGGACACUAUACAGAUGGUAAUAAAAAUAGCAAAGAGGUAUGGAGGUACAAAGGUUUUGGGAAUCUUAUAAACUUUUCCAAGUAGUUAAAAUAAAUCUAAUCAUCCUGACAUUCUUAUAUGAUAUGUGACAGCUGCUUUUAGAUGGUGUGCUCUCUCUGGAUCUCUUCUCCUUAAUGCUUGUGUGAAAAACUCAAUCAGAGCCUGAUCCAAUCUAGUAGAUUAAACUACAAAAAAAUAUAGCUCAGGAAAGUUCAGGCUGGUAUUAUUGCUAGGAAACCAUUAUCUCCACAAAGCAGGUUUCUCGAACAUUUGUUGGAAACAGUCCUUCUACCUAGCAUUAAGAAAGCCCUGUCCUAGCUGGCUCCAAAGAAUCAUUGAUUAGGUGACAGAACAACCCAUGAUGCUGUGGCAGGCACU